GCGGGGAUAGCUCUGUUGGGAGAGCGUCAGACUGAAGAUUUGUAGGUCACGUGUUCGAUCCACGUUCACAACA
rnacentral:tRNA from 1 species